rnacentral:rRNA from 1 species
CUAAGUUUGAUGGCGACCGGCGCACGGGUGAGUAACACGUAUCCAACCUGCCGAUGACUCGGGGAUAGCCUUUCGAAAGAAAGAUUAAUACCCGAUGGCAUAGUUCUUCCGCAUGGUAGAACUAUUAAGGGAUUUCGGUCAUCGAUGGGGAUGCGUUCCAUUAGGUUGUUGGCGGGUAACGGCCCACCAAGCCUUCGAUGGAUAGGGGUUCUGAGAGGAAGGUCCCCCACAUUGGAACUGAGACACGGUCCAAACUCCUACGGGAGGCAGCAUG